rnacentral:lncRNA from 1 species
AGGGGAGAGAGAGAUAGAGGAGGAGGAUGAGGCCGGGUGCUGCUGCUAGCUUGCUUUAAAAUCGGGUGAGGAUGGAGGCGGGCGGACGGAUGGAUAAGGGUGGGGGAGCUCUUUAGUACCGAGUGGGGGCUCCACCCGGUACUAAAGGGGGUCAUGGGGGCUUCUCAAGAACUAUCCAUUAGGCCCGGUAAUAAUACUCACAUUAGUCCCGGGUCAAAAUGCAACUGGUACUAAGCCUCGGGACGAAUGCUCAGUUUUCCAGUAGUGUGAAGAUCUAAUCCAAUGCAUGUUUGACCCAUUCCGCUGAUGCAAGUGAAGGUAUCAGUGAGUAAUAGUUGGUCAGUCAUUUUUAUUCCACUUUUACUGCUUUGAAAUGAGGAUUAGUUUAAUUAAAUAAGUUUUGGGUCGACCCAAUGGUCUAG